UACGUAGGGUGCAAGCGUUAAUCGGAAUUACUGGGCGUAAAGCGUGCGCAGGCGGCUUUGCAAGACAGAUGUGAAAUCCCCGGGCUCAACCUGGGAAUGGCAUUUGGGACUGCAAGGCUGGAGUGCGGCAGAGGAGACUGGAAUUCCUGGUGUAGCAGUGAAAUGCGUAGAGAUGUGGAGGAACACCGAUGGCGAAGGCAGCCCCCUGGGUCAAGAUUGACGCUCAUGCACGAAAGCGUGGGAGCAACAGG
rnacentral:rRNA from 1 species